GUCUCUUUCUCUCUCUCUCUCUCUCUCUCUCUCUCUCUCUCUCUCUCUCUCUCUCUCUCUUUGAUGCACGUUCUCUCUUGGCCAAGUAAUAGGACUACCACCAGCAAGAAGCACGGAUAUCCAUGAGCUUCUCGACCCGUUUCUACCAACACCCCCUUCCUAUCUCUUUCUCUCUCUCUCUCUCUCUCUCUCUUUCUCUAACACAUUAACACCCUCUCUUCCCUCUUUCUCUUUCCAUUCCAGCCGGCCAAGCGCGCACGGAAUCCCUCGGGCUGUUGUGUUCUCUCCUUUGUUUAUCGUUGCAAACGAUGCGCUUGCCUUGCCAGCUCGUGGUAGAAAGAGAAAGAGUAACAGAGAGAAAGAAAGAGAGAGAAAGAGAGAGAAAGAGAGAGAGAAACAAACGAGAACACCACGAGAAAGAUAGAGAAAGAUAGAAUACAUUCGUAUUCUAUACACGUGCACGUACGCAUACACACACACACACACACACAUAUUGUUUAUAUAAAUUCAACGCAAAAGAGAAACGUUUUAGAAAUUUGGAAAAAAGAAAGAAAAAGAAAAGGAAUAGAAAAAGGAAGAGAAUUUUCGACGAAACAAACGAAGUUUAUGUGUUUGUGUUUAUGUAUAUCGUAUACUGGGCGAUAAUGGAGAAAAUGCACCUUUCUGGAUUUUCUCAAAGACUUCGUUCGCAAAAAGGGAAGGAUUUCAUUAGAGUAGACCCAUUGAGGUAAGCGUUUCGAUGUCCAGGCACUCUGAAAAGGACCAAAGGAGAAAUGUUCGAAGGGUGAACUAGAGAGAAAGAGAGACAGAGAGAAAGAGAGAAAGAAAAAGAGAGAGAGAGAGAGAGAGAGAGAGAAGGAAGAGGGUCAGUGGCAAUUAAGUGUGAGAGAGUGAGGCUCAAAGAUUUCAGGCGUUCCCUUCUUGCUACGGGUUCUACGUUCACUGGGUCAAGUUCAACUCGACCGAGACAGAAGGGGAAAGAGACAGAGGGGAAUGUAAGAGAGAAAGAGAGAAAUAGAGAGAGAGAGAGAGAGAAAGAGAGAGAGAUAGAAGAUUCUACAGGAAGAGGCAUAGGACACGAGAGAGAAAGAGAGAUGGGGAGUAGGAAAGAAGAGAGACGGUAGUAACGCCGAAGCCUCUCUUGCUCCAUUCCCAAGCACCACCGAUCGAUGCUUCACCGAGAUAACAGAUCUCGAUCUUCUUACUGCUCCUUCGAUAUCGCUGUCUCCGCCGCCGCCGCCGCCGCCGCCGCCACCGCCACCGCCACCGCCGCCGCCAUCGUCGUUGCCGCAGCUUGGGAUGAGUCACGAUCGAAUAAUCCGCCUUUGGUGAUUCACGGGAGAACGAGUAUUCGAUACAUACAUACGUGUGUAUGUAUAUGUGCGUGCGCGCGUAUACGUUUGUAUAUACGGAUAUCACAUAAGUAUCAACUUCCGAGAUACGAUUGCUUGGUCAGUGUUACGACAGUUUGCCAUACUUUAUUGCCUUUCGAAUGAUUUGCCAUUUCGCAAAAGGAAGGAAAUCAAAAGUGAACAAAAAGGGAUGGGAGUGGGAGUGGAAUGGGGAGUGGAGGAGGGCUGAACGGAAGAGGAAAAAAGAAAAAAGAAAUCAGAGAAAAACAAAAAGAAAUCAGAGACUUGUCCGAAGGAACGAGAACGAUCGAUGCUUGGUCCAUCGGAUGCUGUUACUGCUACACUGCUGCGUACGAUGCUCGUAAAACGUUCAUGUUGAGCGUAUAUACAUAUAUAUAUAUAUAUAUAUAUAUAUAUAUAUAUAUAUAUAUAGACGUACGUAUAUAUAUACACGUACGUACAUAGGUAUCUACGUUGGGAAAAAAUGAGAAAAAAAGAGAGAGACAGAGAGAGACAGACAGAGAAAGAGAGAGAGAGAGACAGAGAGAGAACGUACUUACGUAGAUGUGUGCGUGAACCUCCUGUUCGUGCAACCGUCGGACACGCGAUCGUCGAAACUUUUGCUGUCCCGCAAAUCGAGAGGUAUGCAACAGCUGUUAUCGUGUUACGGCUUUGCACGAGCCGCCCGUAACUUCAUAUCAUUGUAGUGGUUGCUUGUGUAGGAACCGCUUCGUCGAGUGGGUCAAGUUCAGCGCGAGCUUAUCAUAACGUUUCCGCGUCGUUCCACUUCUCUCCCGCAUCUGAACGAUCCUCUCUGUCUCUCUCUCUCUCUCUGUUUCUCUCUCUCUCUCUCUCUCUCUCUCUGUUUCUCUCUCUCUCUCUCUCUCUCUCUCUCUCUCUCUCUCUAUUCUCUUUUCCUCUCGUUUCUUCGCGCGAAAGAUUUGGAAUAAUCUACUUACUUACGUCAGUUCGUAGACAACAAGUGUAUGUCAUAAGAGUUAACGGCCGGUUCGUGAUCUCUUUAUUUUUUCGCGAUUACAAAUAAUGUUUAUCAGUCGGACAAAAUACAUUUCUGAAAAUUCGUACAUAUUUCUUCAUUUAACGUAGAAUAUAUUAAAUCUGCAUGUAUGUGUGCGAACGUUUAUGACUAUUUAAAUCAGAUAUAUUUGAAAAAUCGUAUUGUUAGAAUGAUCAUUCGAGAAUUUUAUAUAAAUAAAAAAAUUAACGAGGUUAUAAUAAUCGUUUGAAAAUUAUUAUUAUUAAUGAUUAGAAACAGAUCAAAUAUAACUUGUUAUCUGUACUUACAUUGCGUAAUAUUGAAUACGUCGUUAAUCUCUAUUUGCGUAGAACAUAAAAUUAGAUUAUUUUUAAAUCGUUGAUGUAAAAUAAUUCUGUUAUUGCAGAAUUAUCGCUCGAAGAUCUUGCGCGAAUGGAAAUGACUAACGAAGGAUCCUAUUCGAAAAAAUAUUUAUAGUUAAUGAUUUAAAACUAACCUCUAACUAAUUAUAACUUAUUAUGUAUACGAGUAUUGCGUAAUAGAGAGUAUGUCUCUUUGUAUGGAAAAUAUAAAUUAGAUAUUUCUAAAUCGGUGAUGUAAAUAAAUGAAAAGAAAAAAAGAAAAGGAAAAGACAAAAAAAUCUUAUUAUCACGAUUAUAUCGUAAGUAAAAAAUAACAUCGAAAAAUCGUUUAAGAAAACAUUGAAAACGAUUAAAUCGAAUCGAAUUAUAAAUUAAUACGGUACUUAUUCAUCGAUAAUACUUAUACGACGAGGGAUAAGAUAAAAAAAAAGUCCCGUUUUGUAAAACAUUCGUAGACAUUUUUCUUUUAUAUAACACGCCAUGGUUGAUAUUCUUUUUUAACGAUGUAUAACGAUUUAACGAUGAAGGAAAAAAUAAAGAACAAAAAAACAAAAACAAAAAAAAAACAAGAAGAAGAAGAUGAAGAAGAAGAAAAGAAAGAAAUCGAACAUAAAAAACAUUUGGUUUCAAGGGUUAAUCGCUCCGAAAGUGGAAGGUGUUCGCGCAAAUAGUUUUGCGCGUGCGCAUGGCGUGCUUCUCGCGAGAGCACGGAGAAAGCAGAUUACCAUCGACCACAUUCCUGGGAAGAGGAUCGUGAUGUGCCGGCAGCACGUGCUCUUGCGCCUCGUGCUGCUCGAUUUGCUCGACAAACAGUGUACACGAGAUAGAAAGAGAGGGAUAAAGAGAGAGACAGAUAGAGAGAGAGAGAGAGAGAGAGAGAGAGAGAGAGAGGGAGAGAGAGAGAGAGAUAGAAAGAGAGAGAGAGAAUGCAACGAGAACAGGUGGGAUGGUUCCUCUCUCGCGUAUGCGUUUCGCGUAUAAACAACGUAUGUACAUAUGUAGGUGUAUAUACUAUUCGAGCUUUCUGUCCCAACCUCCCACCCUUCCAGCCCGUUUGCCACCCCACCACAAUACCAUUCCCAUCGUAUUCGAAGCUUACAGCGGAGAUUCUCAUUGAUAGUCGAUGUGUAACGAGCAGCAGCCGGUAUUUAAUCCUUUCGAAUAAUACGUAGUUAGGUAGAUAGGUAGAUAUGUACGUAGAGAUAUACAUGCGUAUCUCCAGCUAGACAACAUGAAACAUAAAUAUAUAUUGAUAAUUAUCGGUCGGAAAGAGUAUUUUAUCAGCGAAAUAUUAUAUGAAAUAUUUAUUUGAAAAUAUUUCUUUCUUUCUUUAUCUUUUCUUUUUUUUUUCCUCGUUUCCUUUUCCCUUUUCGAUCUUUGCCCUAUUUAAUCUUUCAAAGGAUAAUUC